AGCCCUAAAUCUUGAUGACCCCAAACACAAACAUCCGCCUGAGAACUACGAGCACAAACGCUUAAAACUCUAAGGACUUGGCGGUGCUCUAAACCCACCUAGAGGAGCCUGUUCUAUAAUCGAUAACCCACGAUUCACCCGACCACCUCUUGCCAAAACAGCCUAUAUACCGCCGUCGCCAGCCCACCUCCUGAGAGCACAACAGUGAGCCCAACAGCCCACAGCCCACUAACAAGACAGGUCGAGGUAUAGCCUAUGAGGUGGAAGAAAUGGGCUACAUUUUCUAAAAUAGAAAACCCAACGAAAAGGGGCUUGAAACCUGCCCCCAGAAGGCGGAUUUAGCAGUAAAGUAGGAUAACCAAGCCUCCUUUAAGCCGGUCCUAGAGCA
rnacentral:rRNA from 1 species